rnacentral:rRNA from 1 species
GAUGAACGCUGACAGAAUGCUUAACACAUGCAAGUCGAUGGGGAAGUGGUGCUUGCACCAUGGCAACCAUGGCGGACGGGUGAGUAACGCGUAAGGGACUUACCUGCAGGACUGGGAUAACAGGGGGAAACUCCUGACAAGACCGGAUAAUGUCAUGGAGCUGCAUGGCUUUAUGAUGAAAGGAGACGCCUGCGGAGAGCCUUGCGUCCUAUUAGCUAGUUGGUGAGGUAAUGGCUCACCAAGGCGAAGAUAGGUAGCCGGCCUGAGAGGGUGGACGGCCACAAGGGGACUGAGAUACGGCCCUUACUCCUACGGGAGGCAGCAGUGGGGAAUAUUGGACAAUGGGGGCAACCCUGAGCCAGCAAUUCUGUGUGCACGAAGAAGGUUUUCGGAUUGUAAAGUGCUUUCAGCAGGGAAGAAGUAAGUGACGGUACCUGCAGAAGAAGCGACGGCUAAAUACGUG